CUUUAAUCCUAUUGCUGUUACAAUUAUUAUUAAUAUCAUAAAAUCUAAUUGAACGUUAUUAAAUGGCUACCAUUGUAUAGAUUUUAUAACCGAUUGAUAACUGGGGCUAUGCUGCGAAUAAAACUGGGAAUACCACCUGCGCGGUGGAGAAUACAGUACAUGAGUUACCUGGCAACAACAACAACAACAGAACCUGGAGAUGCGUUUAAGGACCCCCAAGUCUCCUCCCAUUAGCCGACUCUAGUACUAGCCGUGCUGAAGUAAAAAUGGCAACACCGCGGGAGUCCGGUCUGAAUAUAUCAACACCUACCCUACUCUAUCUGCCUCCCGGACUCCUAGACUCUCAGCCAAUCAACGU